rnacentral:rRNA from 1 species
CGCGUAGGCGGUUUACACAGUCAGAUGUGAAAUUCCAGGGCUUAACCUUGGGGCUGCAUUUGAUACGUGUAGACUAGAGUGUGAGAGAGGGUUGUGGAAUUCCCAGUGUAGAGGUGAAAUUCGUAGAUAUUGGGAAGAACACCGGUGGCGAAGGCGGCAACCUGGCUCAUUACUGACGUUGAGGGACGAAAGCUAAGGGAGCAAAUUGGAUUAGAUACCCCCGUA